GCUUAACACAUGCAAGUCGAGGGGCAUCAGGACGAUAGCUUGCUUUCUUUGCUGGCGACCGGCGCACGGGUGAGUAACACGUAUCCAACCUGCCCUUUACUCGGGGAUAGCCUUUCGAAAGAAAGAUUAAUACCCGAUAGCAUAAUGAUUCCGCAUGGUUUCAUUAUUAAAGGAUUCCGGUAAAGGAUGGGGAUGCGUUCCAUUAGGUUGUUGGUGGGGUAACGGCCCACCAAGCCUUCGAUGGAUAGGGGUUCUGAGAGGAAGGUCCCCCACAUUGGAACUGAGACACGGUCCAAACUCCUACGGGAGGCAGCAGUGAGGAAUAUUGGUCAAUGGGCGCUAGCCUGAACCAGCCAAGUAGCGUGAAGGAUGAAGGCUCUAUGGGUCGUAAACUUCUUUUAUAUAAGAAUAAAGUGCAGUAUGUAUACUGUUUUGUAUGUAUUAUAUGAAUAAGGAUCGGCUAACUCCGUGCCAGCAGCCGCGGUAAUACGGAGGAUCCGAGCGUUAUCCGGAUUUAUUGGGUUUAAAGGGAGCGUAGGUGGACUGGUAAGUCAGUUGUGAAAGUUUGCGGCUCAACCGUAAAAUUGCAGUUGAUACUGUCAGUCUUGAGUACAGUAGAGGUGGGCGGAAUUCGUGGUGUAGCGGUGAAAUGCUUAGAUAUCACGAAGAACUCCGAUUGCGAAGGCAGCUCACUGGACCGCAACUGACACUGAUGCUCGAAAGUGUGGGUAUCAAACAGGAUUAGAUACCCUGGUAGUCCACACAGUAAACGAUGAAUACUCGCUGUUUGCGAUAUACAGUAAGCGGCCAAGCGAAAGCAUUAAGUAUUCCACCUGGGGAGUACGCCGGCAACGGUGAAACUCAAAGGAAUUGACGGGGGCCCGCACAAGCGGAGGAACAUGUGGUUUAAUUCGAUGAUACGCGAGGAACCUUACCCGGGCUUAAAUUGCAGUGGAAUGAUGUGGAAACAUGUCAGUGAGCAAUCACCGCUGUGAAGGUGCUGCAUGGUUGUCGUCAGCUCGUGCCGUGAGGUGUCGGCUUAAGUGCCAUAACGAGCGCAACCCUUAUCUUUAGUUACUAACAGGUCAUGCUGAGGACUCUAGAGAGACUGCCGUCGUAAGAUGUGAGGAAGGUGGGGAUGACGUCAAAUCAGCACGGCCCUUACGUCCGGGGCUACACACGUGUUACAAUGGGGGGUACAGAAGGCAGCUAGCGGGUGACCGUAUGCUAAUCCCAAAAGCCUCUCUCAGUUCGGAUCGAAGUCUGCAACCCGACUUCGUGAAGCUGGAUUCGCUAGUAAUCGCGCAUCAGCCACGGCGCGGUGACUACGUUCCCGGGCCUUGUACACACCGCCCGUCAAGCCAUGGGAGCCGGGGGUACCUGAAGUACGUAAAAACAAGGAUCGUCCUAGGGUAAAACUGGUGA
rnacentral:rRNA from 1 species